rnacentral:rRNA from 1 species
AACGAACGCUGGCGGCAUGCCUAACACAUGCAAGUCGAACGAGACCUUCGGGCCUAGUGGCGCACGGGGGCGUAACGCGUGGGAACCUGCCCUUAGGUUCGGAAUAACUCCCCGAAAGGGGUGCUAAUACCGGAUAAUGUCUUCGGACCAAAGAUUUAUCGCCUUUGGAUGGGCCCGCGUUGGAUUAGCUAGUUGGUAGGGUAAAAGCCUACCAAGGCGACGAUCCAGAGCUGGUCUGAGAGGAUGAUCAGCCACACUGGGACUGCGACACGGCCCAGACUCCUACGGGAGGCAGCAGUGGGGUAUAUUGGACGAUGGGCGAAAGCCUGAUCCAGCAAUGCCGCGUGAGUGAUGAAGGCCUUAGGGUUGUAAAGCUCUUUUACCCGGGAUGAUAAUGACAGUACCGGGAGAAUAAGCUCCGGCUAACUCCGUG